rnacentral:lncRNA from 1 species
AUGAUGAAAAUGACCAUGAUGUUAACACAGAUGAUGAGACAAAAGAGGAUUCUGAAACAGAGAAUUCUGUGAAUACUGACAAUUCUGGUGGUGCAUUAAGGACACAAUCAAAUUUUGAAAACGACAAUGAAAACUGUCAGCAACUAUUAAAGUUGGCACACGGAUUUGAAGGUGCAGAAGUCAAGCACGACCCACUAGUUUCACAAGUGAGCCAGCCAGCAAACUUAAAAAGAUACAUGUCUGAGUCUACAGAACAGUUUUGCUCAUCCAACAAAAGAGGACGAACAUCUCCUCCAAGACAGGAUAAUAUAUCUUCUCCAAGACAGGAUAAUAUAUCUCCUUCAAGACAGCAAAAUACGGUUUGUAUAGUAAAGUGAAAAUAUUUGAUUUUUGUUCUUCUCAUUCUGCUAUAAUUCUUUUGUUAAA